AUGGUACUCCUUCCGUCCGGAAUUACUUGUCACGAAAAUGAAUAGAAAUAGAUGUAUCUAGAACUAAAAUACGUCUAGAUACAUCCAUUUCUGAGACAAGUAUUUCCGGACGGAGGGAGUACGUA
rfam:Triticum aestivum genome assembly, contig: Triticum_aestivum_CS42_TGACv1_scaffold_225279_3B